GACGAACGCUGGCGGCGUGCUUAACACAUGCAAGUCGAACGGAAAGGCCCUGCUUUUGUGGGGUGCUCGAGUGGCGAACGGGUGAGUAACACGUGAGUAACCUGCCCUUGACUUUGGGAUAACUUCAGGAAACUGGGGCUAAUACCGGAUAGGAGCUCCUGCUUCAUGGUGGGGGUUGGAAAGUGUCGGCGGUUGGGGAUGGACUGGCGGGUCAUCAGCUUGUGGGUGGGGUAGGGGAUUGCCAAGGCUUUGGUGGGUGGCCGCACUGGGAGGGUGACCGGCCCCAGGGGACUGAGGGAAGCAGCAGUAGGCUAUCGGGGGCAAUGGACGGGAAUCUGGCGGAACGGGGGCGCGGGAGCGGAGAAGACCGCCGGGGCGGGAAGCUCGGUUGUUGGGGUGGAACAGGUUUCGCCGGUGAUGGAGUGAGCGUGACGGUAACUGGCGAAGAAGCCACGGCUAACUACGUG
rnacentral:rRNA from 1 species